rnacentral:lncRNA from 1 species
UCAGCUCCAACUCCUCCCCCGACAGGCUCGAUCCCACUUCCUCAGGACCCAAACCCAUUCCCACAGAAGAACGAAAUAAAAGUUAAAAGCGGAAAAUGGAAGCUGGGGAGGAGAAGAAAAGAGGAAACCCUAGUGAAAACAGGGUGAAAACCUACUGGACAUCGCCGGAAAUCGCUCCGGGCACCGACGGCAAGGUUCGGUUGAGGAAGGAAGUAAGGGAGAAAGAUAACGAAAAUGAGAAGCAGCCAAACAAGACCUUUAGGGCAACCUCGAGGGGUUUAUAUAGACCCCCCUGACAGCCCAGAUCGACGGGGUCGGUUCCCAUCCCCCGAUCGCGUUGCGCCACGUGUCGACCUCGGAAGCCGAGGCACC